AGACAGAGGGUGCAAGCGUUAAUCGGAAUUACUGGGCGUAAAGGGCACGUAGGCGGCUAUUUAAGUGAUGGGUGAAAGUCCAGGGCUCAACCUUGGGAUUGCCUGUCAAACUGGAUAGCUAGAGUACAGUAGAGGAGAGUGGAAUUGCCGGUGUAGCGGUGAAAUGCGUAGAUAUCGGAAGGAACACCAGUGGCGAAGGCGGCUCUCUGGACUGAUACUGACGCUCAUGUGCGAAAGCGUGGGGAGCAAACAGGAUUAGAUACCCUAGUAGUCC
rnacentral:rRNA from 1 species